rnacentral:rRNA from 1 species
GACGAACGCUGGCGGCGUGCUUAACACAUGCAAGUCGAACGGAAAGGCCCUGCUUUUGUGGGGUGCUCGAGUGGCGAACGGGUGAGUAACACGUGAGUAACCUGCCCUUGACUUUGGGAUAACUUCAGGAAACUGGGGCUAAUACCGGAUAGGAGCUCCUGCUGCAUGGUGGGGGUUGGAAAGUUUCUGCGGGUGGGGAUGGACUCGCGGCUUAUGAGCUUGUUGGUGGGGUAGUGGCUGACCAAGGCUUUGACGGGUAGCCGGCCUGAGAGGGUGACCGGCCACAUUGGGACUGAGAUACGGCCCAGACUGCAACGGGAGGCAGCAGUGGGGAAUAUGGCACAGUGGGCGGAAGCGUGAUGCAGAAACGCCGCGUGCGGGAUGACGUCCUGCGGGUUGUAAAACGCUUUCGCCUGUGACGAAGCGUGAGUGACGGUAAUGGGUAAAGAAGCACCGGCUAACUACGUG